rnacentral:lncRNA from 1 species
GGCAUUGCUUACAGGGGUCACAGACAUUCAGAUCAUGGCAGAACUGUCACAGAUGUUACUUUGUGAAAACACAAAGAAUAAUGUGUUUGGAGAGAUCAGUCUUCAAUUAGCUAUAUUUUCUAGGAGCCUACCUUUACUUAGCCUCACAACAUGGGCCUUAGCUUUAGCACUUAAUCUGCACAAAUACCUGGCUUAAGUGUUAUGACUGACUGGCUAUUCAACCAAACCAUACAAAUGACCAAUUCGGUAAGAAAGCAUGAACUUCAGUGUUGAACCAAAUCAACCAACCUCCUCAAUCCAAAUGAACAAUGCUAUUCUAGGAGUCUGUGCUAGAAUAAAAUCCUAAUGCAAAGGCUGUCUUAAAAUGCUGAACCCAGAAGAAUUUGGCAUAAAUAAGACAUGGAGUUAGCUGACAUGAGAUAUUACAUUUAUUCCACUGUUGACGAGGACAAAACUGGGCCGCUAUUGUCACAGGAGAGGAUAACAAAGGAAGCUGAGGAAGUCUGUUCUGGAGGCACCAUGACAAAGCACCAGACAGAAAGCAGUCACGUGUGGGGAGAUGAGCAGAGACACCACUUCUCAAGCACCUGAUUAUUCUUUCUCAGUAUUUAGAAGCAAAAAUUAUCCUUAAGAAAAACAACCGCAAACGCAACACAGGCUACACAGAUGAGAAAAUGGGAUUUCAAGAGAGAAGGCUGAAAAGGAAGGUGACUGGAAUAUUAAGAACUGUGAGAUAUUCUGAGGAAACUCUAAUUUGUAAAUUGGUAGAAAUGCCAGUAAUUUGUUGGGAAUUGAAGACCCUCUGUAUUCAAGAGCGAAGCUUGGCAGCUGUGCACUGUUGUUUUAUAAAUCAAUAUUACAUCUGAAGGUGGUGUUUGAAUGUUUGUGUCAUUGGGGUUUGUCUCCAACAUAGUCCUGUGACAAGAAAUGUUCAAACAAAACAAACACAAUCCCUUCCCUGUCCUUUAGGAUAAAGUCCAAACGUAAUUCCACAACAGGGAUAUAACAUUCAAAUCAACUACAGAACUUCUGUAAUUAUAUAAAACCCCACGACCACAGAAAUGCAAUUGAAUUGAAGACACUUUGCAAUAUUCCCCAAGAAAGGACUGUGUGGCUGUCAGAUUAACAAAAGUCAAGAGGUGGUGAGACAAUGCUCACCAUUGCAAAAAAGAGCUUUGUGCAUAAUGAACAGAAUUUGCAUGCCUGUUUAGGAAAUUAAGGUGAAGCCAAGGUGACUUAGGGUC